UACGUAGGGCGCAAGCGUUGUCCGGAAUUAUUGGGCGUAAAGAGCUCGUAGGUGGCGUGUCGCGUCUGCCGUGAAAGCCCAUGGCUUAACUGUGGGUCUGCGGUGGAUACGGGCAGGCUGGAGGCUGGUAGGGGCAAGCGGAAUUCCUGGUGUAGCGGUGAAAUGCGCAGAUAUCAGGAGGAACACCGGUGGCGAAGGCGGCUUGCUGGGCCAGUUCUGACGCUGAGGCGCGAAAGCGUGGGGAGCAAACAGG
rnacentral:rRNA from 1 species